UACAGAGGGUGCGAGCGUUAAUCGGAAUUACUGGGCGUAAAGCGCGCGUAGGCGGUUGUGUAAGUUGGAGGUGAAAUCCCCGGGCUUAACCUGGGCACUGCCUUCAAAACUGCACGGCUAGAGUAUGGGAGAGGAAGGUAGAAUUCCAGGUGUAGCGGUGAAAUGCGUAGAGAUCUGGAGGAAUACCGAUGGCGAAGGCAGCCUUCUGGCCUAAUACUGACGCUGAGGUGCGAAAGCAUGGGGAGCAAACAGG
rnacentral:rRNA from 1 species